rnacentral:rRNA from 1 species
GACGAACGCUGGCGGCGUGCCUAAUACAUGCAAGUCGAGCGCAGGAAACCGUCUGAACCCUUCGGGGGGACGACGGCGGAACGAGCGGCGGACGGGUGAGUAACACGUAAAGAACCUGCCCAUAGGUCUGGGAUAACCACGAGAAAUCGGGGCUAAUACCGGAUGUGCCAUCGGACCGCAUGGUCCGCUGAUGAAAGGGGCCUCGGCGUCGCCCAUGGAUGGCUUUGCGGUGCAUUAGCUAGUUGGUGGGGUAAUGGCCCACCAAGGCGACGAUGCAUAGCCGACCUGAGAGGGUGAUCGGCCACACUGGGACUGAGACACGGCCCAGACUCCUACGGGAGGCAGCAGUAGGGAAUCUUCCACAAUGGACGAAAGUCUGAUGGAGCAACGCCGCGUGAACGAUGAAGGCUUUCGGGUCGUAAAGUUCUGUUGUAAGGGAAGAACAAGUGCCGCAGGCAAUGGCGGCACCUUGACGGUACCUUGCGAGAAAGCCACGGCUAACUACGUGCCAGCAGCCGCCGUAAUAC